UAUGGCAUCAGAGUUGUUCCAACCUGCAUAGGAUACUUUAUACUUUGGUGAGACCUUGAUAUGUUCCAAUACAGACUGGAAAGAAAGUCCACAGGACAACAGAUUCAAAUGACAAUUGUACAUGCUGGGAGCACUUUCAGUGUUACUACAAGUGAGUCAUUGAUGUUUUUACCCAUUAGCCAACUAUUACAGGGCAUGUUCCAUUUGUAUUCCGUGGCAGCCUUUGUUUUUCCUUUAGUGAAGGAAGCUGUUGAACUGGAAAUCCUUUCUUGGACACUUUCUCAUGCUGAUGGCUUAUGCGUCUUGGUAACUGUGAUCCAACAUGAAAUGUAUGAAAAGGAUUCUCACCAAACAGGUUGACCACAAAACAGCAACAGGUGUCAUCAACCAUGUAAAGUAAUCAAGGAAUGAUUUCUGAGGGUGAGUGACCCUGCUGACUGGGGAAUGGAUUUCAGCAUUUCAUAGCUUUCUCUUGGAGCAGUGCUUCUCAAACUUAUGUACCUGGGUCACUUUGGCAUCUUGCCAAUAUGUAAAUUUUUGGAUUAGUUUGCUUGGGGUGGAAUCUGCAAGACCCUGCAUUUCUAGCAAGUUGUUGAUGACUAUGAUUCAAGGACCACAUGUUGAGAUGCAAGCUGUUGGAAUGUUACUUAUGUACUUUUAGUUGCCACAACUCUGGUGGGGUCAAUGUGUCCACUAAUCAUUUGUCAAGGGAAGGAGGAAUAGAUGUGGCAUAUAAAGUACAUUUCUUUUUUUUGGAAUUCUUCUCACUCUAACCUUAUUUUCAGUCUAGGCUAUUUCUAUGAACAUAAGAAAGGCAGAUGAGAAGUAAAUAAUAAUAAUUUAAAAGUCAUUCAUCUGCAUGGCAGCACAUAAGUUGGUCAUUUUCAUUUAAUUGUUCCUUUUCACAAAGUGUCCUUUACAACAAAGUGAUUGAUUUUGCCAUUUGGAUGCAAAUUUGUAAGAACACAUUCAAGAAAUGCCAAGUAAAAUAUGAUUCACUAAUGAACUUCUCUCUAUGCAUUAUUCCUAACCAUCUGAAAAUACUGUAAUGUUUUUUGUCCUACUUUGGUUUUGUUUCAUCUACAACUUCAUUGAAUUCCCUUGAGUCUAAGGAAUUUUACUUAGGUGGACAGUGUGGCCGUGUAACACAGCUGGCCACACAGGAAUCAGACUGAGAUCCUUGCUCUCAUUAACACAAUGCCCAGCUCAAUUCAGCUAACCACCCACACAUUUGUAGCUGCCCAGGCUAAGGGAGAUGAAUGUCUCUGCCUUCUCUCUCCAGUUACUGGAGAUGUUUCAAAUGGUUCCACUGGACUAUUGAGAUGCAUUUGCUUAGAGUAUCUGUCAGGUUAGCCCAGAC
rnacentral:lncRNA from 1 species